UAAAAACAUGAUUUUUUCACAUGACAGGAAUACUGGGAUUAAACGACACAGUAGAGAGCAGGGCUGCGGGCUUUGAUGCAGGAGCCGAGUCGGAACCUCUGACGGAGGAGAUUAGAGACACACCGACAAGCCGGGGGUGAAUUCGGCCUCUGGGCUCAAGCAGAUGCCGCUGAGAGGCUGGCGACGCCAUGGCAACGGCCUGGGGCCCUAGCCGCAGGGUGUCCUCCUCAGGGCCCAGCCUGGGGCGGAGGCGGACAGGACAGGCCCGCGUCUUAGGCCAGAUUUCAGUUGGAAAGCGAAGCCUGUCUCGGCACGCCGCUAGCCCCCUCUAUGUAAAAGUAUCCAUCCUUAUUAUGAAAAGAGCUGCUCGCUCAAAAUUAAAAGGUCUCCCCCCCCCCGGCAAAUCAGGAGCGAUGAUCGCUAAUCCUAAACCAAUGUGUCAUAAUAAAGUGAAAGGUUAUCAAUUAAA